GACGAACGCUGGUGGCGUGCUUAACACAUGCAAGUCGAACGGAAAGGCCCUGCUUGCAGGGUACUCGAGUGGCGAACGGGUGAGUAACACGUGGGUGAUCUGCCCUGCACUUCGGGAUAAGCCUGGGAAACUGGGUCUAAUACCGGAUAUGACCUUCCAUGUAGUGUGGGGGGUGGAAAGAUUUAUCGGUGUGGGAUGAGCCCGCGGCCUAUCAGCUUGUUGGUGGGGUAAUGGCCUACCAAGGCGUCGACGGGUAGCCGGCCUGAGAGGGUGGACGGCCACAUUGGGACUGAGAUACGGCCCAGACUCCUACGGGAGGCAGCAGUGGGGAAUAUUGCACAAUGGGCGGAAGCCUUAUGCAGCGACGCCGCGUGGGGGAUGACGGCCUUCGGGUUGUAAACCUCUUUCGACAGGGACGAAGCUUCGGUGACGGUACCUGUAGAAGAAGCACCGGCUAACUACGUG
rnacentral:rRNA from 1 species